AGCUGGGCUUGUUCAGCCUGGAGAAGAGGAGGCUCAGGGGCGACCUUAUUGCUCUCUACAGUUUUUCAGACAGUGUGUUGGGACCUCCAGAGGAUGAAAGACAUCCAGAAACAAAGACAAUCUGAUCCUUCUGGUCUCCAUCCACUCUCUGCAGACUGUCUUCAUCAAGGUUGUGUGUCUUCAGCCACCUCUCAGAAAACAAAACAAAAUAAACAAAACAUGCUUCUCAUCUCUGUGACAGCACUGUUGCUUUUAAAUGGCAAAUAAAAACUGUAAGAGAAAGUUUUUGCUGUAGGAAGGAGUCUUUAACCUGAAAACAUUGGGAAGGAAUCAUCUGUGUUAUAUUUAAAGGAGGCUAAAGAAUGAAAAGGCAAGAAACCCUCAUGCUUAGAGGCAUAAAAGAGCCACUCUUUGAGCUAAGUAAGCAAUAAAUCACAUCUAAAGAAGUCAUCCCAGAAUUUUCCCUUACGUCUUUUUCUUGCACUUUCCACAGAAGCUGUCCAUUUUCAAAGGCAGAACGUUGAACAAAAUGGGCCAUGCUUCUCUGCUGGAACAGCAGAUCCAGUGCUCACAGUCAAGGCAAUUUACAGCACAGCUGUUCUCUUUUGGUCCUGUGGCAUGUUCCCUAUGUCAUCCUCUGAUAAGGUAUGGCAAAGUGACAAGUCACCUAGAUGCAUUUAAUGUGAAAUGAAGUAUGUUGCUUUUUGUUGCUUCUGUUUAUUAAAUUUUUAUUUUAAUGGCAUGCCAUCUUAAAAUAUAUACUUGAAUAUACUUUUGAACUUGGGAGUAUAUUAGUCUACAGGUCACUUUGUUAUUUAUUCAUGCUUUCUUCCCACACUGUCAUGCUACCAAAAUUGCAGCAAAGAGAUUCUGAUCUUUAGGAGAGCUGGAUAAUGUCACAGUGCAGAGUUACAAAAUAAUAAUGCAUAGUAUCACACAUUACUAUAUUGUUUUAGUGUGUUUACUCAGCAUUUUUGAGGAUUACUAUACACAGUCUGGCCCAUAGUCUUUGCAGAAGAAAAUAUUGCAAAUUAUCUGGUAAAUUCUUUCCUAUUCUGAGCUUCCAAAUCUCCCCUGAGUCAGUGGACUUCUUUACAUGCUGACCUGUACCAGUUAUGGCUUAUUAAGUUAAAUCAUGAGAUGUUGUUUUUAAGUACCAAGGCCAUACAGUUUUCCACGCACUUGAUAGUUAGAGCUUGAUGUUUUCAGCUGACUGCAUACAUAACCUUCGAUGUAUUUCAUUGAAUACAAAUUGAAAACCUGAGUUGGAAAGUAGUUAAGAUGCUCUUUGCCUAAUCAGGUGUAAAGGUAGAAGUCCCCAUAUGACAAGAAAACUCGUGGUUAUGUGAGAAUGCCUAACCUAAAUUAUAGACAUUUAGGAUAAAAAUCUAUUUCUAAUACUUCAGUGGGGAAAUGUUACCUCUUUCUCAGGAAAACUCAAAUUGAGACAGAGAAGUUACACUGAGGUCAAUGUGAAGUUUUUGCUAUCAUAGAGAGUAGAUGUUAAUAUCUGCUGAUGGUAACCGCUCAUAACUAUCUAGCCUAAAAGUCAUGCCUGAGCAUCCAUAAUUCCUAAAUGUUUAUGUGAGCAGUGGGUAGAAACCGUGGAUCCAUCUACCACUUUAUGUCAACACCUUGAAAAGAUUUCCAGUUGCAAGAGACUGUGCAAUUCAAGAUAUGUGAUGGAUGAGACCUAUAGAAAUAGAUACUUGCUGUUGGUUAUUUUUAAAUUAUGUAUUAUACAGUAGGUAUCUCAUUGUCUAAUAAGUUUUUGAUUUGAAAUAGUUUGGUUUUAAACAUUUUCUUAGGAAUUACUAUUUCCUAGAAAUUCUGUAAGACUUUUCCAUGAGAAUGAACUGGGCUCAGCAUCUCAGUUCCAGUAGAAAUGGCCAUAUGUGGGGCUAAGAACUGCAUUCUUACAUUAAUGUAAACAGUAGCUGCUCAUAAGCACCCAAAGACAGUGUUGUUUUUUUUUCUCCGGGUAUGUUCUACUUCACUGUUUCACUGUCUCUACCCCUUUGGAGUUGAUGCGAGUUACAUGCUGAAGUACAUAUGUAUCAAGGAUACCCCAUAGUUAAAUAUAAUAACAUUUCUCUUUGUAGACAGAAUCACUGUAUUCAUGUUACUGAAAAAAAAUAUUUUGAAAAAGGUUCUGAACUAGCAAUUUGCAUAUUUGCAUCUGUGAGUGUAAAUAGAUAUACUGAAUCUGUCAUGGCAGUUGGUAAACUAACACAAACUUCUUACAGUUCCAUGACAAACCUUUAGCAUGCAAAUCAUUUCUGCAGCCUGCAACUGCCAUCCCACCAGAAAAAUCCUGUCUGGAACAGGGAUGUAAACAGCGAAGUGCAUGCCUGCUAAAAGGGAUUUCCCUCAUAAUUUCAGAGGCGCCUGUGUGUGUAGGACUGGCUAUUAUACAGUGUGCAGACAAGACUUUCUUUUAAUCAGUAUGUAUCUUCCGGGAAUUGAGUUUCCUGAUAAUUUUUCCAACAUUCCAUUUCGUGCAUUAUCAUGCAUAUGUGUAUUUAUGUGCAUUUCUCAAUGAGCUCAUAUAUUUUUGGAAAAUCUUUUUGCCUGGCUUUGGGACCAUUUAGCUCUCACUCAUUACUGGUAAAGCUCACCACCUACCUUUUGUGAGCUGCUGCUGCAUAAGUAGUUUGUUUUGGUGUAAUUCUUCUCUCUUCCUCUCUCUCUCUCUCUCUCUCUCUCUCUCUCUCUCUCUCUCUUUUUUUUUUUUAAUCCCAACAGAUAAUAUCAUUAAGUAAUUAAUAACAUAGCUAGGCAGUGCCCCAGAAAUGAGAAUACAAAGACUACCCUAUAUAGUAUUCUUUGAUCUGCUUGCUCUGACUGGCACCUUUUGUACGCCACACGUUUUAUGUUGAUGAAGGAAUGCUGCAGCGGCUUCCUGCAUCUUCUCUCUUUCUGCUGCCUGAAAGUGGCCAAAAUUAACAUGAGAGCUGAUCAACAAAAAUAGCUGCCAGACAAUGUUUAAUGUCCUCAAACUUCUCAUUUUGUGAAACUGAGGACAUGAAAGAGAAAAUGAGUGUGCAAUAUGUUCACUGAUUGCAGUUUGUUCAUUCUUAUCUUUUAUACGUUUUGCGUUGAAAUCCAGCAGCACGGUUCCAUUGGAGUUUGAACCAUGAUCAUAGAAUCAUAGAAUCAUGAUAUUGAACAAGAACCUGUUCUACAGUACUUGUUAAAAGAGAAUCAAAUCAAAGCCUGUGGACACCACUAACUUGUGAUUAUCUUCCUUGAAAACACCCAUAUUGCACUGUAGUUGUAAAAAAAGUGUUACACAUUCUACCUGUUAUGAAUGGUCAUAACACUAUUGUUUUAGUUCAGUAAGCUUUAUAUUUAAAACAGUAUUGCCAUCUUGUGGUUCUGACAAGUUUCAUCAAUCUGUUUCUGCAGCCAUUUUUUUCUUUAUUGUGUUGCCAAGAAUUCCUGAAAUGCUAUGGUACAUAAAGUGGAACUGCAAAAUGUGCAUAGAACAAUAAAAUAAAACAAAACCUGUAUCUGAACAUCAAAAA